rnacentral:rRNA from 1 species
UAGGUAGGUGGUCUCAUUUGUCUGGGGUGAAAUCCUUGAGCUUAACUCAAGAAGUGCCCCAGAAACGGUGAGACUCGAGUACUGGAGAGGGUCGUGGAAUUCCCGGUGUAGCGGUGAAAUGCGUAGAGAUCGGGAGGAACACCAGCGGCGAAGGCGGCGACCUGGACAGUAACUGACACUCAACUACGAAAGCGUGGGGAGCAAACA